UUCCGUGUAGAGGUUUGUGCUGUCUCCCCUGAUGUGGGAAGCCCACACGGAGAGUCCCAAAGUCUAUCCUUUCUAACAAAGACUCUAUUUGUUCCUUGGUUAAAAAGAAGUGACUCUCUAAAGAAGAAUUAGCUUUACAUUGGACCUUGUGGUGAAUGUUGUGUUGAACAGUGUCAACGGAGUGGUAUCUCUUGAUGAGAGAGGAAGCAUUUUCACAAAGGGAAGAUAGAAUGUGGCACUUUCCUACUGAAAUCUCAGAGAAAGAUGCUCCUGUGUCCGUUGAUACUAAUAUUUUAAUUUCAUGGAUUGAUGCCUAUGUUCUAGAAGUCUGAAUUCAUAACACGCCCCUUCAAGCCAAUUAGGAGCAAGCGCACAGAGAGCCAGCCAAUGUCCCAGAUUUUAAAAUAUGGAAAUCAUUGUGGUAGAUCACAAGGAGAAAUGGGUCAAGAGCUAGUUUUGUUCAUCUUCAGCUAGCGCCAUCACCCAUAUUAACAGGUAUGAAAUCCUGUUACAUUCAAUGAUCAUCAUGACCACUAAUCUAAAGAAUCAUUCUAAAAGUAAAGCUUAAAAAGACUAAAGUUGGAAAGUUUUACCAUUUUCUUCCAGGAGCUUUGGUUACUCUCCUGAGACUCUGGGACAUUAAAACUAAUGCCAUAUUUGGUUUCUUGUGGAAAUUUCUGCUCCCUACUCUGCGGGAGUAUUUCCCUGGAACAUGUCAUACAGGUAAUUCAUUGCAAAAGUGUGUGGAGGGAGAAUGUUGGUCACUGGAAAUAUUCCUGUGAAGGACAAGUCCCAGGCUCUUCUUUCCCUCUCAGAAGAUGGGCAUUGUGAAUUAUAGGACUCCCAUCUCCUGAAACCUAUUGACAGAGGCAGAAACUGCAGCCAAAAUGUUUCUGAGCUUUUGAAACCAGGAUCAUAUUUCUGCAUAUCUUUUCUC